GACAACAAGCUUGUCCAUGAAAGCAGGAGCGAUGUAGAAGCCUCCCAUGGUGUUGUCGAAGUCGUACUUCCGCAGGCCCUGGCUGACGUACUCGUAGGAGCUGAGGACGGCCUCGUGGGUGCCGUCGCCCGUGGGCGCCUGGAAGAGCGAGUCCACGAUGCCCUUCCCUCUGGUGAUGUCCUGCUGGUCGUCGGAGAUAUCGUACGCAAGACCCUUCCACUUGUCGGUGUUCCUCUUCUCGUCGAUGUUCUCCGCUGCCAUGACUGUGAACCUGUUGGCCUUGGAGCUCUUGCCAUGGUAGUUCACGGCCGAGGUCACCUGCUUCUUGAGCUUCUUCCCGAGGAAGUUGGUCGGCGUAGAAGCCUGUAUACAUUACAUUACAUUACAUAUACACACAUGAGAUGCCGCUGAAGACACUGAUAGGAUAUCAUCACUAAGCAAGAGAUGCAAUCAAUCAAUCGAUCGAUCAGUGUGUGGUACGCACCGGAGCCCCGACGGUGGAGGAGAAGGCAGCAGCCAUCUCUGUGCUGCUUGGUCGACCUUGCUAGCAACGGUGGAUGCGCGCGGCUGUGCUGGUGAUCAGUGAUGAAUGACUGCUGCUGCUCAAAGUAUAGAGGCCGAGCUAUGUGACGCCUUAAAUACACGUGGAUUGGCAUAUUGCUGCUCUGCUGUGGGGAGCUUGGAGGAGGAGGCGGCAUACACACACCCCUGCUUGUGGAUCAGCCUCCCGAUCCCCCAGAGGCCACACGCUGGAGAUUGGGUUCUGAGCGUCUUGGCCGGCCGGUUGGAUGACUUGGACCGUCAAGACCAAACGCUGCAGCUGCAGCUGCAGAUACGUCUGCUGGCCAUCAAUUCCAUGGCCUUCCACGGCCACAGAAUCUAACCAUUCAUGCUCAAAUCAUCUCCCAUUUCUUCCGUGCCUUUCAUUUUUUCCUUUCACUCGGUCGCCCGUAUAUACUAUCUUGUUUAUUAGCCAAGCCAUGUCAUUGCAUAACCACAAAAAAAGGGUCUCUCGUUGCUUGUUGGAUGAGGCACCCAAGAUUGUAUUCUAGUUCCAAGUACCACAAAUUUGUUGCUGCCAUACAUAUACUGGUUUGUUGAUAACCAUCAAGCUAGGGAUGUCAUUUGGCACCACACAAAUCAAGUCCUGGUUGACAUCAAGCACAUGGGUUUGUACUUUUGUCUACUCCAAUAAAUAUUGCCACUUCGGUAAAAAAAAAUGAAGCGUAUUAAGAGAAAAGGUAGCCAUGCAGUUUUGCUUUGAUGAAAAGAUUAUAGAACGUGUCUAAUGUUUUCAUGUAAAUGUAAUUCGUGUUGCCUAGCUCAAGUUCCCUGCUGGUAUUCUCAUUGUUUGGGUCUAGUACAGACCAUUAAUUGAUCAUUACGAUGAAUGCGAGCCGUUUGGCUCGCACAAUCUUUGUCCAAUACACCUUCUAGUGAUGUUGUCCUUGUUAAUCAACUUUGUGGUGCAAAUUGGGGUUUCCGUAAUCCGUCAAAGGGAAAAUAUGUAUGUAUGUGAUGAGUCAUGACCCCCCACAUCCACAGUACUCGUACCUAAUCAACAAGCUUCAGAUGAUUUCCACAUAUGUGCUAAUCUUCCGACAAGUGCUAAUAUCAAGAGAUAUAUAGGUUGUUGGGACUUGGGACCCUAGCUUGCAUCCAUUGGAGAAAUGAUUAAGCGGAAAAUGACGAUUUAAGAACAUAUACAAUUCCUUUCUCUUUCAAGAAGAGACUUACAAUUGGGUUACCUGUGCGGCGAUGAAUCAAAAAGUUUGAGUGGAUUUCGGGUCCAAAAUAGUCCAACAUAUAUAUAGUGCAUGCAUGCAUCUUAAGUAGAGUAGGACCUUCUACUUGCCGUAGAAGGCACCGGUCUUCAUGGCGUCGUCGUUGGCUUGGCCGAGCGCCGCCUCGCUGAGGUACUUGUCGGCGAGCUGCACACGCUUGACGUUCUCCUGCUCCUGGACCAGCAUGUGGCCGUACUCCAUGAGCUUCUCUAUGGUCAUCUUGGGCUGGUCGAACGUGGGCGGCCCCUCCCUGGAGUUGACGAGGCGCUUGGAGAUGUUCUCCACGCCGAUCUCGCCGACCCACUUGCGCACCUCGUCGUCGUACACCCGUGCCCGCAGCGCGCCGAAGAAGUCGAUGGACUGCCCCGGGAAGGUGUCCACCAGCCUCACCACGGCCUCGUCCGGGACGUUGUCGGUGCGGAAGAUGCCCUUGCACACGCCGAUGCGGUCCUCGCGGGUGGGCGCCCAGUAGAACUUCUCCAUGCGCCCGUCACGGAUCAGGGGAGCGUACAGCGUCGAGAAGUCGUUGCCGGUGACGAUGAUGGGCACGCGGGGGUUCUCCUCCUUGUUGUACAUCCCCGGGAGCUGCACGUUGGUGGGCGCGUCCGCGAUGUUCAUCAGGGUGGCGUUCACCAUCUGGUUGUUCACCGUGUACUGCGUCGUCCCGCCCAUCCGGCCCGCGCCGGCGUCCAGGUCGUUGAUGAAGAGGCAGCACAUCUUGCCCUUGUUGAUAAUGUCGGCCGCCUCGCGGUACCUCUGCCGGAUCAGCUUGGCCGGCUCGCCGGCGUUGCCGCUCUCCAGCUCACCGGCGCUCAUCAUGAUGGGGUUGAUGCCCAUCUUGGCGAACACCAGCUCACACUGGAACGACUUGCCCUGUCCCUUGCCUCCCCAGAUACCCAGGAUGAGAGGAACCUUGAUGUUGGGGAGUGUCAUGAAGUUCUUGGCGAGGUGGACGAUGAGCUUGUCCAUGAAUGCCGGCGCGAUGUACAGCCCGUCCAUGGUGUUGUCGAAGUCGUACUUCCGCAGGCCCUGGCUGAUGUACUCGUAGGAGCUUAGGAUGGCCUCGUGGGUGCCGUCGCCCAUGGGGGCCUGGAACAGGGAGUCCACGAUGCCUUUCCCCCGAGUGAUGUCCUGCUGGUC
rnacentral:lncRNA from 1 species